rnacentral:tRNA from 1 species
GAGGGUAUAGCUCAGUGGUAGAGUUCAUGCUUAGCAUGCAUGAGGUCCUAGGUUCAAUCCCUGGUGCCUCCA